rnacentral:rRNA from 1 species
CGUGUAGAUGGCUUUUUAAGUCAGCUGUGAAAUCUCCUGGCUCAACCGGGAGAGGUCAGUUGAUACUGAGGAGCUUGAGGGCAGCAGAGGAAGAUGGAAUUCCCGGUGUAGUGGUGAAAUGCGUAGAUAUCGGGAGGAACACCAGUGGCGAGGGCGGUCUUCUGGGCUGUUUCUGACAUUGAGGCGCGAAAGCGUGGGGAGUGAAGCGGAUCAGAUACCCGCGUAAUCCACGCUAUAAACGGUGGAUACUAGGUAUGGGGGGUAUCGACCCUCUCCGUGCCGCAGCUAACGUUUUAAGUAUCCCGCCUGGGGACUACGGCCGCAAGGUUAAA